rnacentral:rRNA from 1 species
GAAAUCCUUGAUUCUAAUACAGUCGGGGGAUGACGGUACCGGAAGAAUAAGCACCGGCUAACUACGUGCCAGCAGCCGCGGUAAUACGUAGGGUGCGAGCGUUAAUCGGAAUUACUGGGCGUAAAGCGUGCGCAGGCGGUUUGCUAAGACCGAUGUGAAAUCCCCGGGCUCAACCUGGGAACUGCAUUGGUGACUGGCAGGCUAGAGUAUGGCAGAGGGGGGUAGAAUUCCACGUGUAGCAGUGAAAUGCGUAGAGAUGUGGAGGAAUACCGAUGGCGAAGGCAGCCCCCUGGGCCAAUACUGACGCUCAUGCACGAAAGCGUGGGGAGCAAACAGGAUUAGAUACCCUGGUAGUCCACGCCCUAAACGAUGUCAACUAGUUGUUGGGGAUUCAUUUCCUUA